rnacentral:rRNA from 1 species
AAAAGUGAAAGACGGUCUUGCUGUCACUUAUAGAUGGAUCCGCGCUGCAUUAGCUAGUUGGUAAGGUAACGGCUUACCAAGGCAACGAUGCAUAGCCGACCUGAGAGGGUGAUCGGCCACACUGGAACUGAGACACGGUCCAGACUCCUACGGGAGGCAGCAGUAGGGAAUCUUCCGCAAUGGGCGAAAGCCUGACGGAGCAACGCCGCGUGAGUGAUGAAGGUCUUCGGAUCGUAAAACUCUGUUAUUAGG